UUGAAGGCUUAAGCAAUUUGCCUAAGCCAUAUGGUAAGUAGGAGGUGGGAGACAGGUGUUGGACCCAAUUUCUAUUUUUUUUUUUUUUUUUUUUUUUUUUUUUGUACCAGGCCUUGAACUUGGCUCCUUGCAUGUGCGACGCAGGCAGUGGAACCAUUGUGCUAAAUCCCCAGACCUGAAUCCUGCUCUUUCAGCCCCCAUGUUUCAUAGCCAAAGGUGGUUCCUCAUCCCUCAUGUGGAUGGAUUUGGGG
rnacentral:lncRNA from 1 species